AGAACGAACGCUGGCGGCAUGCCUAAUACAUGCAAGUCGAACGAACUCUUCGGAGUUAGCGGCGCACGGGUGCGUAACGCGUGGGAAUCUGCCCCUUGGUUCGGAAUAACAGUUGGAAACGACUGCUAAUACCGGAUGAUGACGAAAGUCCAAAGAUUUAUCGCCAAGGGAUGAGCCCGCGUAGGAUUAGCUAGUUGGUGAGGUAAAGGCUCACCAAGGCAACGAUCCUUAGCUGGUCUGAGAGGAUGAUCAGCCACACUGGGACUGAGACACGGCCCAGACUCCUACGGGAGGCAGCAGUAGGGAAUAUUGGACAAUGGGCGAAAGCCUGAUCCAGCAAUGCCGCGUGAGUGAUGAAGGUCCUUAGGGUGUAAAGCUUCUUUACCGAGAUGAUAAUGACAGUAUCGGAG
rnacentral:rRNA from 1 species